UCAACUUGAAAUGCAGGCCCAGUUAGC
rnacentral:piRNA from 1 species